rnacentral:rRNA from 1 species
GCCUGCACGUGAUAGUUCAUACAUUUAAAAUGUGAGACUGCGGAAGGCUCAGUAAAUCAGUUAUAAUCUGCUCGAUUGUAUAGGUUAUUGGAUAACCGUGGGAAAUCUAGAGCUAAUACAUGUAAAUAGGGGGAUAAUUUCGGUUAUUCUCUGGCAUUUAUUAGACAAUUACCAAUCGUGGGGCAACCCAUGUGGUGAAUCUAGAUAACUUGGCAGAUCGUAUGGCCUAGUGCCGGCGACAUUUCGAUUGAGUUUCUGCCCUAUCAACUAUUGUCGGUAGUGUAUUGGACUACCGAGGUUUUUACGGGUGACGGGGGAUCAGGGUUCGAUUCCGGAGAGGGAGCCUGAGAAACGGCUACCACAUCCAAGGAAGGCAGCAGGCGCGCAAAUUACCCAAUCCAGACAAUGGGAGGUGGUGACGAAAAGUACCAGAUGACGGCCAAAGGCUGUCAAUUUGGAAUGGAAUCAAUUUAAGCAAUUGAUUGAGGAACGACUAGAGGGCAAGUCUGGUGCCAGCAGCCGCGGUAAUUCCAGCUCUAGUAGCGUAUCCCAAAGUUGCUGCGCUUAAAACGCUCGUAGUUGGAUCACAAACUAUAUGCGAGUUGGCGUGGUGCUGUGCCAAAUGUAAGGAUUCAACGGAAUGUCCUCAUUUCGCGGAUGAUUUAUGUGGUGCAGUUUCAUUGCCGUAAGCUGGUGUGUAGUAAUUGCACGUGAGGAUAGACAUUCGCCUUGAAUGAGUAGAUGUUUGUGUCUCACGGAGUGUGCCUUGAAUAAAUCAAAGUGCUUAAAGCAGGCUAUACGCUUGAAUGUUAAAGCAUGGAACGAACAAUCGUGUAGGGUGCAUGAUGAUUUAUGGGUGACUGGCCCAGCCAGCAUUCAUCAUUGUGUGACACCGACCACCAGUAACGGAUGUUGGUUCCGUAUUGGGGUAUUGAUUAAGAGGAGCGGUUGGGGGCAUUGGUAUUUGGCAGCGAGAGGUGAAAUUCUUGGACCUGCCAAGGACUAACAAAUGCGAAGGCAUCUGUCCAGACCGUAUCCAUUAAUCAAGAACGAUAGUGAGAGGUUCGAAGACGAUCAGAUACCGUCCUAGUUCUCACUGUAAACCAUGCCGACCCGGGAUCAGUUUGGAGCUUUAUUCCAUGCUCGGAGUUGGUCCCCCUGGGAAACCUAAAGUUUUUCGGUUGCGGGGGGAGUAUGGUCGCAAGGCUGAAACUUAAAGGAAUUGACGGAAGGGCACCACCAGGGGUGGAGCCUGCGGCUUAAUUUGACUCAACACGGGAAAACUUACCUGGUCCGAACAUCCGUAGGAUACACAGACUAAUAGAUCUUUGUUGAUGGGGUGAAAAGUGGUGCAUGGCCGUUCUUAGUUCGUGGAGUGAUC